ACUAGGCUUACCAAGGCGACGAUGCGUAGCCGACCUGAGAGGGUGAUCGGCCACAUUGGAACUGAGACACGGUCCAGACUCCUACGGGAGGCAGCAGUGGGGAAUAUUGCGCAAUGGGGGAAACCCUGACGCAGCAACGCCGCGUGAGGGAUGAAGGUCUUCGGAUUGUAAAGCUCUGUCUUUUGGGACGAUAAUGACGGUACCAAAGGAGGAAGCCACGGCUAACUACGUGCCAGCAGCCGCGGUAAUACGUAGGUGGCAAGCGUUGUCCGGAAUUACUGGGCGUAAAGGGUAUGUAGGCGGAUGCCUAAGUCAGAUGUGAAAUACCCGGGCUCAACCCGGGAGCGGCAUUUCAAACUGGGUAUCUAGAGUGCAGGAGAGGAAAGUGGAAUUCCUAUUGUAGGGGUGAAAUGCGUAUAGAUUGUGAAGAACAC
rnacentral:rRNA from 1 species